GACGAACGCUGGCGGCGUGCUUAACACAUGCAAGUCGAGCGGUAAGGCCCCUUCGGGGGUACACGAGCGGCGAACGGGUGAGUAACACGUGAGCAAUCUGCCCUUCACACGGGGAUAACUUCGGGAAACCGGAGCUAAUACCCGAUACGACCACCUCGGGCCUCCGAUGGUGGUGGAAAGCUCCGACGGUGAAGGAUGAGCUCGCGGCCUAUCAGCUUGUUGGUGGGGUAACGGCCCACCAAGGCAACGACGGGUAGCCGGCCUGAGAGGGUGACCGGCCACACUGGGACUGAGACACGGCCCAGACUCCUACGGGAGGCAGCAGUGGGGAAUAUUGGACAAUGGGCGAAAGCCUGAUCCAGCAACGCCGCGUGAGGGAUGACGGCCUUCGGGUUGUAAACCUCUUUCAGCAGGGACGAAGCGCAAGUGACGGUACCUGCAGAAGAAGCACCGGCCAACUACGUGCCAGCCGCCGCAGUAACAC
rnacentral:rRNA from 1 species